UACAGAGGUCCCAAGCGUUGUUCGGAUUCACUGGGCGUAAAGGGUGCGUAGGUGGCCAGGUAAGUUCGGUGUGAAAGCUCGGAGCUUAACUCCGAAGGGUCAUUGAAUACUAUCUGGCUGGAGGGUCGGAGGGGAGACUGGAAUUCUCGGUGUAGCAGUGAAAAUGCGUAGAUAUCGAGAGGAACACCAGUGGCGAAGGCGAGUCUCUGGACGACACCUGACACUGAGGCACGAAAGCUAGGGGAGCAAACAGG
rnacentral:rRNA from 1 species